rnacentral:rRNA from 1 species
AACGAACGCUGGCGGCAUGCCUAACACAUGCAAGUCGAACGAGACCUUCGGGUCUAGUGGCGCACGGGUGCGUAACGCGUGGGAACUUGCCCUUAGGUUCGGAAUAACUCCCCGAAAGGGGUGCUAAUACCGGAUAAUGUCUUCGGACCAAAGAUCUAUUGCGUUUGGAUGGGCCCGGGUUGGAUUAGCUAGUUGGUAGGGUAAAAGCCUACCAACGCGACGUUCCAUAGCUGGUCUGGGAGGAUGAUCAGCCACACUGGGACUGAGACACGGCCCAGACUGGUACGGAAGGCAGCAGUGGGGAAUAUUGUACGAUGGGCGAAAGCCUGAUCCAGCAAUGCCGCGUGAGUGAUGAAGGCCUUAGGGUUGUAAAGCUCUUUUACCCGGGGUGAGAAUGACAGUACCGGGAGAAUAAGCUCCGGCUAACUACGUG